rnacentral:misc_RNA from 1 species
UAAUCCAUCUCACCCUUUGUGCAUCACCGCGUGGGCACCCCUUUGGGAUCAUCUCGGAGGGGGCUCGCGUUUUCACACAAAACCCCCCUUUUAAAAGUGUAGAAUGACCUCAUUUAUGCGCUAACCCGCAAUCAAUACAACUUUCAACAACGGAUCUCUUGGCUCUCGCAUCGAUGAAGAACGCAGCGAAAUGCGAUACGUAAUGUGAAUUGCAGAAUUCAGUGAAUCAUCGAAUCUUUGAACGCACCUUGCGCCCCCUGGUAUUCCGAGGGGCACACCCGUUUGAGUGUCGUGAAAACCUCAACCUCCUUGGUUUCUUCUGGAGACCAAAGCAGGCUUGGACUUUGGAGGCCUUUGCUGGCACCUCUCGCCAGCUCCUCUUAAAUGAAUUAGCAGGGUCCUCUUUGCUGAUCCUCGACGUGUGAUAAGAUGUUUCCAUGUCUUGGUUUCUGGCUCUGUCACCUUUGGGACCCGCUUCUAACCGUCUUCAACCUUGCGUUGAGACAACGUUCGAGCAUGUCUCCCUUCUCGGGAAGCUCCCUCGACCCCACGAACCCUUGACCUCAAAUCGGGUGAGACUACCCGCUGAACUUAAGCAU